rnacentral:rRNA from 1 species
GACGAACGCUGGCGGCGUGCCUAACACAUGCAAGUCGAGCGAAGUAUAUCUGAGGGAAAUUUUCGGAUGGAACUUAGAUAUAUCUUAGCGGCGGACGGGUGAGUAACGCGUGAGCAACCUGCCUUUCACAAAGGGAUAGCCUCGGGAAACUGGGAUUAAUACCAUAUAAAACUUGUCUUUCGCAUGAAAGAAAAGUCAAAGCGAAUAAGCGGUGAAAGAUGGGCUCGCGUCCUAUUAGCUAGUUGGUGAGGUAACGGCUCACCAAGGCGACGAUAGGUAGCCGGCCUGAGAGGGUGAACGGCCACACUGGAACUGAGACACGGUCCAGACUCCUACGGGAGGCAGCAGUGGGGGAUAUUGCACAAUGGAGGAAACUCUGAUGCAGCGACGCCGCGUGAGUGAAGAAGGCCUUCGGUCGUAAAGCUCUGUCCUAGGGGAAGAGUAAUGACGGUACCCUACGGAGGAAGCCCCGGCUAACUACGUGCCAGCAGCCGCGGUAAAGAGUAGUA